AAUUUGUCUUGUCUUCUGCUGUACACCAUUUCAGUCAAUUUAUCCCAGUCUUUCACCUCUAAUGCAUGGUAACAGCGAAGGAUCAAUAACAUUUCAUCUUUUGUUACUUUCUUUAUUAGGGUCCCGCCAAAGGCGGUCCCCUAUAGUGAUCAGUCUGUCCGUCCGUCCGUCCGUCCGUCCGUCCGUCCGUAACACUUUGUGUCCGCUCCAUAUCUAGAGAACCAUUAUGAUUUCAUACUUUAUACUUUACAUGUUUAUUAACCACCACCAGAGGGCGUGUCAUGAUGUAUGUACAACUUCCUAGGUCAAAGGUCAAGGUCAAAAAACUUUGGUUUCAGUUGACAACCCUGUGUCCUGUGGUGAAGAUCGUGUCCGC
rnacentral:lncRNA from 1 species